rnacentral:rRNA from 1 species
GACGAACGCUGGCGGCGUGCCUAAUACAUGCAAGUAGAACGCUGAAGAGAGGAGCUUGCUCUUCUUGGAUGAGUUGCGAACGGGUGAGUAACGCGUAGGUAACCUGCCUUGUAGCGGGGGAUAACUAUUGGAAACGAUAGCUAAUACCGCAUAACAAUGGAUGACACAUGUCAUUUAUUUGAAAGUGGCAAUUGCUCCACUACAAGAUGGACCUGCGUUGUAUUAGCUAGUAGGUGAGGUAAUGGCUCACCUAGGCGACGAUACAUAGCCGACCUGAGAGGGUGAUCGGCCACACUGGGACUGAGACACGGCCCAGACUACUGCGGGAGGCAGCAGUAGGGAAUCUUCGGCAAUGGGGGCAACCCUGACCGAGCAACGCCGCGUGAGUGAAGAAGGUUGUCGGAUCGUAAAGCUCUGUUGUAAGUCAAGAACGGGUGUGAGAGUGGAAAGUUCACACUGUGACGGUAGCUUACCAGAAAGGGACGGCUAACUACGUG